CCUACGGGAGGCAGCAGUAGGGAAUAUUGCUCAAUGGGGGCAACCCUGAAGCAGCAACGCCGCGUGGAGGAUGAAGGUUUUCGGAUUGUAAACUCCUUUUGUUAGAGAAGAUAAUGACGGUAUCUAACGAAUACUCACCGGCUAACUCCGUGCCAGCAGCCGCGGUACUACGGAGGGUGCAAGCGUUACUCGGAGUCACUGGGCGUAAAGAGCGCGUAGGCGGGAGAGCAAGUCAGAUGUGAAAUCCCAUGGCUUAACCAUAGAACUGCAUUUGAAACUGUUAUUCUAGAGUAUGGUAGAGGUAGGUGGAAUUCUUGGUGUAGGGGUAAAAUCCGUAGAGAUCAAGAAGAAUACUCAUUGCGAAGGCGACCUGCUAGAACAUAACUGACGCUGAUGCGCGAAAGCGUGGGGAGCAAACAGGAUUAGAUACCCCGGUAGUC
rnacentral:rRNA from 1 species